rnacentral:pre_miRNA from 1 species
GCCUUGUUACCUACGGUACCAGGUAGAAAGUAUGUCAUCUCGUACCGUGAGUAAUAAAGCAU